rnacentral:tRNA from 1 species
GGGGAGUUUCCCAAGUGGACAAAGGGGCCAGACUGUAAAUCUGGUGGCUCACGCCUUCAGAGGUUCGAAUCCUCUACUCCCCA